rnacentral:rRNA from 1 species
AGGACGAACGCUGGCGGCGUGCUUAACACAUGCAAGUCAAGGGGGCCCAGCAAUGGGCAACCGGCGAACGGGUGCGUAACACGUGAGCAACCUACCGAAAUGUGGGGGAUAGCCGGCCUAACGGCCGAGUAAUACCGCAUACGCUCUCGAUGAGGCAUUUCAUUGAGAGGAAACCUACGGGACAUUUCGAGGGGCUCGCGGCCUAUCAGCUAGUUGGCGAGGUAACGGCUCACCAAGGCGACGACGGGUAGC